UACGGAGGGUGCAAACGUUGCUCGGAAUCAUUGGGCGUAAAGCGCACGUAGGCGGCCUGUUAAGUCGGAUGUGAAAUCCCUCGGCUCAACCGAGGAAGUGCAUUCGAAACUGGCAGGCUUGAAUAUGGAAGAGGGUCGCGGAAUUCCCGGUGUAGAGGUGAAAUUCGUAGAUAUCGGGAGGAACACCAGUGGCGAAGGCGGCGACCUGGGCCAAUAUUGACGCUGAGGUGCGAAAGCGUGGGGAGCAAACAGG
rnacentral:rRNA from 1 species